GUAGGGGGCAAGCGUUGUCGGGAUUUAUUGGGCGUAAAGAGCGUGUAGGCGGCCAGAUAGGUCUGUUGUGAAAACUCGAGGCUCAACCUCGAGACGCCGAUGGAAACCAUUUGGCUAGAGUCCGGAAGAGGAGAGUGGAAUUCCUGGUGUAGCGGUGAAAUGCGCAGAUAUCAGGAAGAACACCCGUGGCUAAGGCGGCUCUCUAGUACGGUACUGACGCUGAGACGCGAAAGCGUGGGGAGCGAACAGGAUUAGAUACCCUGGUAGUCCACGCCGUAAACGAUGGGUGCUAGGUGUGGGGGGUGUCGACUCCCUCCGUGCCGAAGCUAACGCAUUAAGCACCCCGCCUGGGGAGUACGGCCGCAAGGCUA
rnacentral:rRNA from 1 species